AACGAACGCUGGCGGCAGGCCUAACACAUGCAAGUCGAACGCCCUAGCAAUAGGGAGUGGCAGACGGGUGAGUAACGCGUGGGAACCUUCCCUAUAGUACGGAAUAUACCAGGGAAACUUGGAGCAAUACCGUAUACGCCCGAAAGGGGAAAGAUUUAUCGCUAUAGGAUGGGCCCGCGUAGGAUUAGCUAGUUGGUGAG
rnacentral:rRNA from 1 species